UUGCGAUGACGACCAUUUAGGACACCUUUGUAUAAACCAUGAAAACAGAACCACAUCUGAGCAAU
rnacentral:snoRNA from 1 species